GUCGAGAAUCAUUCACAAUGGGGGAAACCCUGAUGGUGUGACGCCGCGUGGAGGAUGAAGGUCUUCGGAUUGUAAACUCCUGUCAUGUGGGAGUAAAGCCGGGUGUUAAAUGCAUGCCGGUCUGAGAGUACCACAAGAGGAAGGGACGGCUAACUCUGUGCCAGCAGCCGCGGUAAUACAGAGGUCCCAAGCGUUGUUCGGAAUCACUGGGCGUAAAGGGUGCGUAGGCGGCGCGGAAAGUCAGGGGUGAAAUCCCGGAGCUCAACUCCGGAACUGCCUUUGAUACUCCCGCGCGUGAGAACUGGAGGGGAGACCGGAAUUCACGGUGGAGCAGUGAAAUGCGUGGAUAUCGUGAGGAACACUAGUGGCGAAGGCGGGUCUCUGGACAGUAUCUGACGCUGAGGCACGAAGGCCAGGGGAGCGAACGGGAUUAGAUACCCGUGUAGUCC
rnacentral:rRNA from 1 species